UACUCUAGCAAUUAGCUAAUACCAGUUAUCUUCUUGCUAUGCCAAUCUUCUUGCUACUUCCCAAUACCGCAAAGCAUAGUUUUGAUAUUGGAAUGCUAACAAUUAUUUAUUAGGUGCCUCAAAGCAUUCAGGAUCGCAGUUAUAGGAUCCCUUGUGUUUUAGGGCUGUAAAAACAAAGAACAAAAGAAGAGUCCCCAACUAACACGCUCACAAAGUAACUCCAAGGCAAUUGGCAACAGAUGAAUACUGACAGAGGUAAAGUAGUAUGCUGGGAAUGAUUAUAGAAGAACUGUCAGUAUGAAAGGCAGUGUUCAUGAAAUACCUUUAAUCUAGCCACCGGUGAUUAUUCUUUUUCUGGGCAAUCCACUCUAUCCUCUCCCCCCCCCCCCCCAGUAUCUUACAGGAUGUAGCAAGCAUGCAUUCGAAGGUGCUGUGCUCUUGCAGGAGACCAGCCUCCCUUCUUGUCUCCAUGAGGUGAGAGACAGAGAUUUUCAAACCUGUUAAAAGUCAUUCUGAAGCAAGGGAUGGAUCCCCAGGAUCCUGGCCCCGGGUUUCUCACCCUGAAGCAGAAGACAACGCUGUCAUUCAGAACAGCAAGUUCCCAUUCACAGUUAUUUGUCAUGUUAAUUACUAAAGACAAAAUUCUCCUUCAUCUUAAUCGUGCGGGUCAAAGCAGAGAAGUUUAGCACUUCAGAACAUCAAACUUUGCUUUCAUCUGUGUACAGGACAUCAUUCUGAAAUUCCUUUUGAUCAAUUAGAAAAAAAAAGGAAGGAAGACAAUUUGAAAGUUUGCUAGUGGCUGGGGUUGUCAUCUCUUUGUUAAAAUCAAGGGAAAAGGAGUCUCUCUAGUCAUUAGCCAUUGACUGGGGGUGUCCAUAACAUCCCAACCAGAGCAGGUAAAGCUGAGUAAAAGCCAUGAGCAAAUAUUGACAACCGCUUCCCCCUGUAGUCAUGCAGGAUCCUCGUCACAUCAUUCUCACUUCACUAAUUUAAAUCCAAGUUGUUAGCACGAUUAGAUCCCUGUGUACUGUGCUAUAGGAAAUACCCCUGGCUCAAACCCCUGCAUUUUUCACGGAAAGUGGAUGCCUAUCAUGACUGUAAUUUACUGCACAGUGUACCUACGCGCUCCCACAUUAGCUGCAAUCUCUGUCGUGCUCACGCCAACAUUCCAGCACUAUUUGGCAUUUCAUGAACGCAGUAUUUAUCACUGAAGUUCAUACAAAGUUGCAAACCCUAACAAGGCUUAUCAGCUUUUACAAACCAUCUCUGUCCACUGGAGUGUGACAUGCUGAGUAUAAUUCCACUCCCUGUGCACUCAUCAGAUGUGAAGGAGGAAAGGGGGGGCUUCAAAGCAGUGUUUCGUAUCGUUUUAAAUGAAUCGUGAAAUCAAAUGUCCAUAUAGCCACUAAGUUCCUGCAGGUGAGAUGCAACUGCAAGCUGGGCACUUCAAGCAGUCCCUCAGUCAAAUAAAAUCUUCUCAUCAUUACUGAUGUGGUAAUUGUGCCCUGGAAAAGAGCAGCGCAUUGGUUGUGCAAGGGGAGAGAGGGACUUGGAGCUCAGUUCCAGAAGUCACACUGAGUGCAGACCAGGUCAGUCAGCCUUGGUUUACCUGCUGUCAAGAGGCAAAUCACCAGUUACUGGAUUUAUUUCAGAAACAUAUCAGAAAGUAUAAUUAAAUAUGCAAGUGUAUGUUUGCCUCUGAAGUUUUGAAAUAUUGUGGUAUUUGUACCAAGAACUUGGCAACCUGAUUUUCUGCUGGUCCAACCCUAUAUCUAGAGCAAGAGCAGAGACAAGAAAGCUUGUGAAGGGGCUUGCAGUACCUGUAUUUUUGUGUGUCUACAUGCCUCUGGGUAUAUAACACCCCAUCACCACCCCUUUCCUGCUUGUCAGGCACAAGUGUGACACACUGAUGUGGGUGGAAUUUGAUUGAGAAAUGAGCUACUGUUUGUAUUGUCAUCACAGAGCUCUCUAAAAGCAUGAAGUCAGUCUGAAAAAAAUCAGGAUGUUAAAAAUGAAUGCUAAUUCUUUUCGCUUUUCUGCUCUGUUUUUUGGUUCACGUCACUUGUGUAAGGUGGUGUUGGGAUUUUUGGUAUGAGUAGAAAUCAGAAACACCUCUUUGAUAACAAGAUUUCACAAACGCUUAUUCUCUCUCUCUAAUUCCAUGAUAUCAAGAGUCAGGCUGAUAAGUUUAAUGUCUUGAGGUAAUUCCUUAAUUAUUGUGUAGGCUUUCAUAGUUCCAUUGACUUCAGCUGAGAUGUUACAACAACUGAAGGUAUGUGCCCUAAUAUUUGCAAUUAAAAAGAAUAAGACUGGCUAAAGUUUGUGUAUAGAGCACAGCAAUAUAUCCCCUGCCAGGGAAAUGUUUGUAAUGGCUGAAGAAUGGGAUGGGAGAUCUUAGGUAUCAAAUUAAAAAUAAUCUAUUCAUUGCAUUUAAAAAUCCAGUGUUUAAUAGGUUUAUGUAUGCAGUUGCAUAGCUGUAAAUGCAUUCCUUUGCUAGCAAGUGCUUUAGAGAUGUUGGUGUGUCCAUUUAAUAGCCACCACCACAUUUCCCUGCUAUAUUCACCCUGGCCAGAGCAGCCUGUGUCACCAAGAAGGCAUAGCCCCAGGCUGACUCCUUCAGCUGGCCAUGGGAGCCCGGCUCAGCAAUUAAAGCAGAUACAGGCACACCUACAGGCAGCGUUUUCUCUGCCUGUUUUUCAUCAUCCGUUAUACUGUUUGCACCCAUAGACCAUGGUAAAAUUUUCCAUGGUUGCAGUUUGAGCUGCUUCAGUAAAUGUUGUUCAUGAAAAGGGAACACUUGUUGCUUCUUUUUGCCCUCCCCGGGAUCCUUUUUGGUGAGGUUUUUGCAGCUAGUGGAAUCCAAGGCACAGGCGUUGUGACCUGGAGCACAGGAGCAAGUUCCCUGCCUGCCUUUGUGAACUGACUCAUGCUCUAACCUUGGUCAGGUCACUCGGGUGGUGGUGGUGGUGAUGGUGUUCUCUGUAUCUCAGAAUUUAAAAUGCAUAUUUUGUUCUCCUCACAAUUCUGACAUUGUAAACAUCUUUCUGGCUCUAGCGACAAUCUGUAUCAUUUUAGAUAUACAUUAUCCUGUACAAAAAUACCCACCCACACCCCGUACUCUGAAAAAAUCACAGUCGCCGAAACUCCAAAUUUAAAUUGAAAUAUGUAGAGCUGUGUAGACAAGAGGACAUCUCUCCAAAUGUGAGUCGAUAGCCUUUUUCUCUCAAAACAGUUUGGCUUAUCAGAAAUUCCUAGUCUUCAAGUUUACAACUCAGUCUCCAACUGGGAGCUGCUGGACCACCCAGCAGCCAGAGCUGGGACACAUUCUUCAGCAGUAUAUUUGCUUUGCCAAGGGAGAGGAUGGUUUCAUUGCAAAUGUCAGCUGCAGGCUGAUGCUUCAUCUUCCUCAAUACUGUCCCAUCCCUCACAUGCUCCCUGCCCUCUCCCCAUAGCUGGUUUUUGCAUUACGUCUGUCACUGUCUCCUUGCUGCCUUACCUCCAGCAACUAGGAAGAAAAGGAUGCAAGAACAGACAAAACAGUGUUCCUACUGCAUUUUAGCCUGGCUAUGCAAAUAUCUGUAGCAGCUAAAACCAGCAGUCAUAAGGAUAUUCCUGCUUUAGCCCUGUAAUCCUGGACUGGAAAGAGUCCUGCACUACCCACUUGUCAUCAGAUCCUCUGCUCCUCUGCCAGUAGGUUGGUGGUGGCAUUGAAAGGCACCUGAUGUUUCUUGGGACUUGGACUGUCAUGGCUCACUGUGAGGAACAGAUUAUGGAGCUUAAGGUUCUUCACUGAGAAGGCCCUGAUUCCAGAUCUAUAAAUAGGUCCCCCUCUAUUCAACUCAUGUACAUCUCUGCUGUCUCAAGCAUGGCCAGAGAGAGGUUGUCAUCCUGGGCACUCUAGCAGCCCUUCAACUCUCACAGAGAGGCACGGAAGGAAAAGUAGUCUCUAAGAUAGAGAAGGACGCAUAUCAUGCUUUUACUCUCCACAGCAAUCUCAGUAUUUUGUAUGUACUUAUUGCUCUGAGUUUGUAUCCCUUUCCCACCUGUACUUACACUGUCUUUUUUUUCCGUGGCUUGUUAUUAUUUCUAUUGAGCAAUCUUCAGCCGAACCGGGAGAUCUUGCAGUGAGUCACUUACUUGAACAUUAUUGCCUAGUUCUUUGCACAAGACAGAUUGGAUAUGAAUGAGAUCUCUUGUCCUUAUGAUUUCCUCUUAUUUCACAAGACAUUUUCUUCAGAACUCUCCCUGCAAUAAAUUAUGUGGUAUAUUUAUUUUUUCUUCUACCAUGCUAUAGCUCUGUGCUUUUUUUUUCUUUGUCGUUUCUCAUUUUUUAGACACUUCUUCUUCUAUGAUCUGCUGCUGUUGUUUUCUGUUUUUUUCCUCUCACAAUCUCUUAGCUAUAUCCUUGGGAAUUUUUCCCUUGUGCAUUUUUUAGCACAGUGAAUGUAUUUGAUGUAUUCAAAAUGAGAGCUUGAGCUAAGUAUUUAAAGUAACAAAAUGAUUUCCCUCUUUUAUCUUUCAGAUGUUGUGUAAUGACUGGGAAAAAAUAAAAGCAGUUGAAAUGUUUUAAAUGAGGUAUAGAACUGUAAGGAAUACAUUCCUAUGUAUCGUUUUCUGAUCUUCGUAAUGUCGCAUGAGUGAAAGACUUUGGAGGUGCUUUACUUCUAAAGACUCACUUGCCUGGAUUUCAGCAACUGCCUUUGGGAAGAGCCUGCAAACCCCAUGUCUAAUCAAAGGGAGGGUGAGUGUAUUUGGGGUGGAUGAUACUGAAAUGGGACUUAGAGAUAGCACAUGUCCGUGGUAUUUAUAGGAGUCCCAUCUUAGCACUGUAUGUCACUGCCAAUUCAUCCAUCAAAACAUCACUACAUUCCCUUGCUUACCAACUCUCCUGCCCUGUUAUCCCCUCUAAACCUUUUUACUCCCACACUGCUUGAUGGAGGUUUGCUAGAAGUUUGGAUUUAACCCAGUUGUGGCCUUUCUGUGGAGGAGUGCUGGAGGAAAAGUUGGUUUGAACUGAAGCUGAAAUCCAGUGGAUGGUUUUGAAAUACAGGUACAUACUGACAUUCGAAUAUUAUUGCUAAGUCCCAUUUCUGUUCUCCCAGCAACUUGGCUAUUCAAACCCUAGUUAGCCAUGGCUAAGGGCAGAUAGAUAGCUUCUUCUACAGCAGGUCUAACCCAUUUUACCCCAGCUCUGCCUGCUGUUUUUAACUUAAGUAGCAUCUCUAGUUGACAAAAUGGACAGGUUAGGAGGGGAUUUGUUUCAUUUAUGUCAUAUAACAUCUGAGUUGACUUUCAAAAUAUAAUAAUUCGUUUAUAUGUCUUCAAGUAGAAAUUCAAUUGCCAAAGCACUGCUCACAAAGGAAGCCUUUGGGGAUCUAUAUAUUAGAAUGCACUGAAUAUUAGUCUGUGGAGCAAUGUCUGGCCUGGCUGAGGCUUAAUGUCCAACAUGUGUCAUUAAAUAAUAGUAUAGCAACAUAUAAAACACCUGCCAGACCAUUCCUCCUCCUCCUCUGUACUAUGUUUAGCUACUAAGGAUGGCUGUUUCCCGUCAAGAUUACUUUCAUGUUUUAUGUUUAAAACUAGAACUAAACUUCUUCACCUGGAUUGCAGUGCAACAUUAGGACAUGUCAUUUGGGGAAGUGGUGGGAUUUAUCUCCUUGGUAGCUUUCAAGGAUCAUCUACACAAAACCAUCCGCAAUCUGAUCUGGUGUUGAUGUUAAUGCAACUUCAAGAAGCAGGAGGUUGGCCUAGAAACCUCCGGAGGUCCUUUUUAAAUGUUUUUUUUCUAUGAUCUUACAGUUCUGCAUUUUCUUGAAGAAGACGUUGCUUUGGUGCACUGAACAAAAACAAGGCCAGAUGAAACCAAAUAGCACUGAGCACCGAGUCCUUGCUGCUUGGUAGAAGUCACUCGGCAAUUUUGCAGAUGCUGAAAGUCCCAACCUUCAGCCCCUAUGGUGGUGUCCUUUGUAAUACGAGGAUUUAUCAGCUGGUUUUCAUAGCCAUGUAGGUCAGUUUUUAGUCUUUUCUGCAAUGCUGUGUGUUCUGUAUUAUACUCCUGCAAUUGCAUAUUUGCAUGCCUACUCAAUUACCACCAGAAAGUUAUCUUCAAAAGCGCAAAGACUGUCACUGCUAUCCUUCCUAAGAAUGCAGGAAUGAUAAUCGUUAAGGAGGAAAAUUACUUGUACACAGUAUUGACUUUUUUGCCCCACUGCCUGUCAUUACUUGGUAGGUUUUGCUCAGUGCAGGACAGUGAGCAGCCUGCUCCAUGCAGAUCUUGGCUGGCUUAGGAGGGAUAGGCAGCAGGCAGGGCUCUCACAGGCAGUGCCAGCCCCUUGGCUCAUGGCAGGGCAUGAGUGACCCACCCUUAGCAGCCUCUCAUUCCAGCUUUGAAGCAAAGGGUAGCAAGAGGCUUCAGAAAGAUGAGAGCUCCAGCCAUGAGUGGGGGAAUGGCCCACUAAAUGAUUGGUGGAAUUGAAGCAUUUAUUGAUUUAAGAGCAUUCUUUUCUUUUGCCUUGCUUUUGUCUUCUAAGGCAACUUUCUUCUGAAUUUAUGUCCCACAUUGUCACAUCAGGAGGAAAAUACAUGAGAAAUGUUUUGUUAUUUCAAAUUUAUCGCAUAUUACGUCAGCUGGCACUGUGGACUCACAAUAUGUAAUGCUCCAUAAAUUAUGAAAAAUAAAUGUUUUAUGGGCUUACUACGCACUCUGUUUGAAAACCGUUGAGCUGGGGAGACUCACUGACCCCCGUACAAAUUAAUGUGCACAUGAUUUUCAUUACUGCAGCUCCGAUGGGAAGUUUGAACAUCUUUAUAUAUUUAUUUAAAGGAAAACGAGGACAGAAGUUGCUUGAAUACAGUUAGCUUUUCUGGCAAGAAGCAGGUAUCAUUUCACCCAGCUCAUAACCUAUUACUUCCCUCACAGUCAUUGUUAUUCCAGGCCAAAGCUUAAGCUCAGAAUGGGCGCUUCAAGGAUUUAGCACAAGCUUCCAGAGGUCAAAUCCUGCAGUCUUUAGCCAGGCAAACUAAACCUCCAAGUUGGUAGGGUUUUGUCUAUGCAAGGACUGCAGCGUUUGCAGAAAACUAGGAAAGGAGAAGUCAGGCUCCUGCAGAAGGGAAGGCAAUGAAAGGUAUUUCUACCCAACUUCCCUGCCCUGCUUUCCCUGAGUGUGAUGGAGAACGACAAUCAGAGAGCCGCGCAUCUCAGCUGUCAAGGGCCUCACCAGAAGUGAAAAGCUAAAUCUCGAGGCACUGGAGAUCUUAAACCUUAUCGAACACGGCAGCCUUCAGCUCCGAGCCGCAGGAAUCGGAGGGAAACAUCCUCACCCGCCUGCAUGGGAAAGUGUGUCAUCCCAUUUUCUGAGGAGCAGAAGUUCACUCCAACAUGUGUUGCAUGGGAGGCAUGCGUCUUUGUGGGGGGAAAGGGCACGGUGACGUCAGGUAUGAGGAGCGGUGAAGCGCUCUCGGCUGCUUUGUUUUUGCACCCGAAGAUUUCAGUUGCUUGCAAACAGAGGUCAGGUGCUGCAGCUCUUCCCCUGGAUGGUUUUUAUAUCGCAGAGAUCCACCACUGCGUUUCUAAUAAAGCCAUCAAGAGCAUAACCGGGAGCUCCCUGCAUGGGCUUAAGCAAUAUAAGUCACUGCUUCAGAGGACGCUCUUAACUUGGGGCUGGAUGGAUGGAAAAAUCUUCCAAGUUAUUCACUCCUAAUUCAAGUCAGCUGAGGCAUCAAAAUGUCGGGCAGAUGGACAAGAUCUUUGGCUGGAGCCAGCCUGUUUUCUGCUGCUGCUAGGGCUAUUGCACUCAACACUCUAGACUUCUUAAAAUCAUUUUUCCUUAAAUCACUGGGCUUUUGAGAAAUGAGCCUUUGUAUAAGCACAUUAAAGGAGAUUCCUGUGUGCUUUCUAGUGUAAAAGCCCAUACUCCAAGGAUCCUAACUGUAUUAAAUCAUGGUACUUAUCCCAAAA